UUUGAUGAUGAUAAACAGAUAUAAUUAAUUGUCAAAGAGCAUAGCAGCAAUUCAGAGCAUGAUUCAAUCUGGAAUGGUGAUAUGGUUGAUAAAUAAAGAGAAGGAAAUUAAAAUUGCUGAAUAGAGUGAAGUUCAUCCUCUUUGUGUUGUGAAAUGUAAUUGUUUUUUUUUUUUGGAGAAAAUUGUUGAAAUAUCUCCACAUGUAUUUGAUUGAAUUACUUCUUUUGAUCUCAGUUA